rnacentral:rRNA from 1 species
GCCUGCGAAGGCAAGCGGAUCUCUUAAAGCUGUUCUCAGUUCGGACUGCAGUCUGCAACUCGACUGCACGAAGCUGGAAUCGCUAGUAAUCGCGGAUCAGCACGCCGCGGUGAAUACGUUCCCGGGCCUUGUACACACCGCCCGUCACACCAUGGAAGUCUGCAAUGCCCGAAGCCGGUGGCCUAACCGCAAGGAAGGAGCCGUCGAAGGUGGAGCCGAUGACUGGGGUGAAGUCGUAACAAGGUAGC